rnacentral:rRNA from 1 species
CCGGGGGGGGAGCUUACCAUGCAGUCGAACGGUGAAGCCCUUCGGGGUGGAUCAGUGGCGAACGGGUGAGUAACACGUGGGCAAUCUGCCCUGCACUCUGGGACAAGCCCUGGAAACGGGGUCUAAUACCGGAUACGACCUUCCCCUGCAUGGGGGUUGGUGGAAAGCUCCGGCGGUGCAGGAUGAGCCCGCGGCCUAUCAGCUUGUUGGUGGGGUAAUGGCCUACCAAGGCGACGACGGGUAGCCGGCCUGAGAGGGCGACCGGCCACACUGGGACUGAGACACGGCCCAGACUCCUACGGGAGGCAGCAGUGGGGAAUAUUGCACAAUGGGCGAAAGCCUGAUGCAGCGACGCCGCGUGAGGGAUGACGGCCUUCGGGUUGUAAACCUCUUUCAGCAGGGAAGAAGCGAAAGUGACGGUACCUGCAGAAGAAGCACCGGCUAACUACGUGCCAGCAGCCGCGGUAAUACGUAGGGUGCGAGCGUUGUCCGGAAUUAUUGGGCGUAAAGAGCUCGUAGGCGGCCUGUCACGUCGGUUGUGAAAGCCCGGGGCUUAACCCCGGGUCUGCAGUCGAUACGGGCAGGCUAGAGUUCGGUAGGGGAGAUCGGAAUUCCUGGUGUAGCGGGAAAAUGCGCAA